AAUAAGAUUACAACUUUGGGCGAUAACCUUUUCGGCAAUGACAAGGACAAGCUAUUUAGGGGCAAUAGGACUGNUGANUAACACGUAUCCAACCUGCCCUUUACUCGGGGAUAGCCUUUCGAAAGAAAGAUUAAUACCCGAUAGCAUAAUGAUUCCGCAUGGUUUCAUUAUUAAAGGAUUCCGGUAAAGGAUGGGGAUGCGUUCCAUUAGGUUGUUGGUGAGGUAACGGCUCACCAAGCCUUCGAUGGAUAGGGGUUCUGAGAGGAAGGUCCCCCACAUUGGAACUGAGACACGGUCCAAACUCCUACGGGAGGCAGCAGUGAGGAAUAUUGGUCAAUGGGCGCUAGCCUGAACCAGCCAAGUAGCGUGAAGGAUGAAGGCUCUAUGGGUCGUAAACUUCUUUUAUAUAAGAAUAAAGUGCAGUAUGUAUACUGUUUUGUAUGUAUUAUAUGAAUAAGGAUCGGCUAACUCCGUGCCAGCAGCCGCGGUAAUACGGAGGAUCCGAGCGUUAUCCGGAUUUAUUGGGUUAAAGGGAGCGUAGGUGGACUGGUAAGUCAGUUGUGAAAGUUUGCGGCUCAACGGUAAAAUUGCAGUUGAUACUGUCAGUCUUGAGUACAGUAGAGUGGGGCGGAAUUCGUGGUGUAGCGGUGAAAUGCUUAGAUAUCACGAAGACUUCCGAUGNCGAAGGCAGCUCACUGGACUGCAACUGACACUGAUGCUCGAAAGUGUGGGUAUCAAACAGGAUUAGAUACCCUGGUAGUCCACACAGUAAACGAUGAAUACUCGCUGUNUGCGAUAUACAGUAAGCGGCCAAGCGAAAGCAUUAAGUAUUCCACCUGGGGAGUACGCCGGCAACGGUGAAACUCAAAGGAAUUGACGGGGGCCCGCACAAGCGGAGGAACAUGUGGUUUAAUUCGAUGAUACGCGAGGAACCUUACCCGGGCUUAAAUUGCAGUGGAAUGAUGUGGAAACAUGUCAGUGAGCAAUCACCGCUGUGAAGGUGCUGCAUGGUUGUCGUCAGCUCGUGCCGUGAGGUGUCGGCUUAAGUGCCAUAACGAGCGCAACCCUUAUCUUUAGUUACUAACAGGUUAUGCUGAGGACUCUAGAGAGACUGCCGUCGUAAGAUGUGAGGAAGGUGGGGAUGACGUCAAAUCAGCACGGCCCUUACGUCCGGGGCUACACACGUGUUACAAUGGGGGGUACAGAAGGCAGCUAGCGGGUGACCGUAUGCUAAUCCCAAAAUCCUCUCUCAGUUCGGAUCGAAGUCUGCAACCCGACUUCGUGAAGCUGGAUUCGCUAGUAAUCGCGCAUCAGCCACGGCGCGGUGAAUACGUUCCCGGGCCUUGUACACACCGCCCGUCAAGCCAUGGGAGCCGGGGGUACCUGAAGUACGUAACCGCAAGGAUCGUCCUAGGGUAAAACUGGUGACUGGGGCUAAGUCGUAACAAGGUAGCCGUACCGGAAGGUGCGGCUG
rnacentral:rRNA from 1 species